rnacentral:rRNA from 1 species
GCAUAUCAUAGCGGAGGAAAAGAAACCAACAGGGAUUGCCCCAGUAACGGCGAGUGAAGCGGCAACAGCUCAAAUUUGAAAUCUGGCCCCCAGGGCCCGAGUUGUAAUUUGCAGAGGAUGCUUUUGGCGCGGUGCCUUCCGAGUUCCCUGGAACGGGACGCCAUAGAGGGUGAGAGCCCCGUCUGGUCGGACACCAAGCCAGUGUAAAGCUCCUUCGACGAGUCGAGUAGUUUGGGAAUGCUGCUCUAAAUGGGAGGUAUAUGUCUUCUAAAGCUAAAUACCGGCCAGAGACCGAUAGCGCACAAGUAGAGUGAUCGAAAGAUGAAAAGCACUUUGAAAAGAGGGUUAAACAGUACGUGAAAUUGUUGAAAGGGAAGCGUUUAUGACCAGACUUGGGCCCGGUGAAUCAUCCAGCGUUCUCGCUGGUGCACUUCGCCGGGCCCAGGCCAGCAUCAGUUCGCCGCGGGGGAUAAAAGCUUCGGGAACGUGGCUCCCUCGGGAGUGUUAUAGCCCGUUGCAUAAUACCCUGUGGCGGACUGAGGUUCGCGCUCCGCAAGGAUGCUGGCGUAAUGGUCAUCAGCGACCCGUCUUGAAACACGGACCAAGGAGUCGUCUUCGUAUGCGAGUGUUCGGGUGUAAAACCCCUACGCGUAAUGAAAGUGAACGCAGGUGAGAGCUUCGGCGCAUCAUCGACCGAUCCUGAUGUUCUCGGAUGGAUUUGAGUAAGAGCAUACGGGGCCGGACCCGAAAGAAGGUGAACUAUGCCUGUAUAGGGUGAAGCCAGAGGAAACUCUGGUGGAGGCUCGCAGCGGUUCUGACGUGCAAAUCGAUCGUCAAAUAUGGGCAUGGGGGGCGAAAGACUAAUCGAACCUUCUAGUAGCUGGGUUUCCGCCGAG